rnacentral:rRNA from 1 species
CCGGCGACCGGCGGACGGGUGCGUAACGCGUAUGUAACCUACCUUUGACAGGGGGAUAACAUCGAGAAAUUGGUACCAAUACCCCAUAACAUCACCGGAGGCAUCUUCGGUGGUUGAAAACUCAGGUGGUCAGAGAUGGACAUGCGUUGUAUUAGCUAGUUGGUGAGGUAACGGCUCACCAAGGCGACGAUACAUAGGGGGACUGAGAGGUCAACCCCCCACAUUGGUACUGAGACACGGACCAAACUCCUACGGGAGGCAGCAG